GUCUAUGGCCAUGCUACCUUGAACAAGCCCGAUUCUGUCUGAUCUUGGAAGCUAAGCAGGGUCAGGCCUGGUUAGUACUUGGAUGGGAGAUCACCUAGGAAGACCAGGUGCUGUAGGCG
rnacentral:rRNA from 1 species